CGUGCCAGCAGCCGCGGUAAUACGGAGGGUGCAAGCGUUAUCCGGAUUUACUGGGUUUAAAGGGUGCGUAGGUGGGUAGGUAAGUCAGUGGUGAAAUCUUCAAGCUUAAUUUGGAAACUGCCAUUGAUACUAUUUAUCUUGAAUACUUUGGAGGUAAGCGGAAUAUGUCAUGUAGCGGUGAAAUGCUUAGAUAUGACAUAGAACACCAAUUGCGAAGGCAGCUUACUACACAGUUAUUGACACUGAGGCACGAAAGCGUGGGGAUCAAACAGGAUUAGAUACCCUGGUAGUCCACGCCCUAAACGAUGGAUACUCGACAUUAGCGAUACACAGUUAGUGUCUGAGCGAAAGCAUUAAGUAUCCCACCUGGGAAGUACGACCGCAAGGUUGAAACUCAAAUGAAUUGACGGGGGUCCGC
rnacentral:rRNA from 1 species